rnacentral:rRNA from 1 species
AAUUUUUGACAAUGGGGGAAACCCUGAUCCAGCCAUCCCGCGUGUAUGAUGUAGGCCUUCGGUUUGUAAAGUACUUUUGGCAGAGAAGAAAAGUCAUCCCCUAAUACGGGAUACUGCUGACGGUAUCUGCAGAAUAGGCACCGGCUACCUUAGUGCCAGCACCCCAGGUCAUAUGUAGGGUGCAAGCGUUAAUCGGAAUUACUGGGCGUAAAGCGUGUGUAGGCGGUUCGGAAAGAAAGAUGUGACAUCCCAGGGCUCAACCUUGGAACUGCAUUUUUAACUGCCGAGCUAGAGUAUGUCAGAGGGGGGUAGAAUUCCACGUGUAGCAGUGAAAUGCGUAGAUAUGUGGAGGAAUACCGAUGGCGAAGGCAGCCCCCUGGGAUAAUACUGACGCUCAGACACGAAAGCGUGGGGAGCAAACAGG